rnacentral:lncRNA from 1 species
AUGUAUUCUAAGGGGACCACUACUACUAAAGCUCUUUCCACAUUCAAUACAUUUAAAGGGUUUCUCCCCUGUGUGUGUUCGUUGAUGUAUUCUAAGGGCUCCACUUUGACUGAAUCUCUUUCCACAGUCAAUGCAUUCAAACGGUUUCACCCCUGUGUGAGUUCGUUGAUGUAUUCUAAGGGGACCACUACUACUAAAGCUCUUUCCACAUUCAAUACAUUUAAAGGGUUUCUCCCCUGUGUGUGUUCGUUGAUGUAUUCUAAGGUUUCGACUUUCACAGAAGCUCUUUCCACAUUCAAAACAUUCAAACGGUUUCACCCCUGUGUGAGUUCGUUGAUGUAUUCUAAGGUCUCCACUACGACUGAAGUUCUUUCCACAUUCAAUGCAAUUAAAUGGUUUCUCCCCGGUGUGAAUUUGUUGAUGUCUUCUAAGGUUUACACUACGACUGAAACUCUUUCCACAUUCCAUACAUUCAAAUGGUUUCUCCCCUGUGUGAGUUCGUUGAUGUAUUCUGAGGGAUCCAUUUUCACUGAAGCUCUUUCCACAUUCAAUACAAUUAAAUGGUUUCUCCCCCGUGUGAGUUCGUUGAUGUUUUCUAAGGUUUCCACUACGACUGAAGUUCUUUCCACAUUCAAUGCAUUCAAAUGGUUUCUCCCCUGUGUGAGUUCGUUGAUGUAUUCUAAGGUCUCCAUUACGACUGAAGUUCUUUCCACAUUUAAUGCAUUUAAAUGGUUUCUCCCCCGUGUGAGUUUGUUGAUGUCUUCUAAGGUCUCCACUUUGACUGAAGCUCUUUCCACAUUCAAUACAUUCAAAUGGUUUCGCCCCUGUGUGAGUUCGUUGAUGUAUUCUAAGGUCUCCACUACGACUGAAGCUCUUUCCACAUUUAAUGCAUUUAAAUGGUUUCUCCCCCGUGUGAGUUCGUUGAUGUCUUCUAAGGUCUCCACUUUGACUGAACCUCUUUCCACAUUCAAAACAUUCAAACGGUUUCACCCCUGUGUGAGUUCGUUGAUGUAUUCUAAGGUUUCGACUUUCACGGAAGCUCUUUCCACAUUCAAAACAUUCAAACGGUUUCACCCCUGUGUGAGUUCGUUGAUGUGUUCUAAGGUUUCGACUUUCACGGAAGCUCUUUCCACAUUCAAAACAUUCAAACGGUUUCUCCCCUGUGUGAGUUCGUUGAUGUGUUCUAAGGGCUCCACUAGAACUCAAGCUCUUUCCACACUGCAUACAUUCUAA